rnacentral:rRNA from 1 species
GAUGAACGCUGGCGGCGUGCCUAAUACAUGCAAGUCGAGCGAACAGACGAGGAGCUUGCUCCUUCGACGUUAGCGGCGGACGGGUGAGUAACACGUAGGUAACCUACCUAUAAGACUGGGAUAACUUUGGGAAACCGGAGCUAAUACCGGAUAAUAUUUCGAACCGCAUGGUUCGAUAGUGAAAGAUGGCUUUGCUAUCACUUAUAGAUGGACAUGCGCCGUAUUAGCUAGUUGGUAAGGUAACGGCUUACCAAGGCAACGAUACGUAGCCGACCUGAGAGCGUGAACGACUAGAUUGUAUGUGAGACACGGUCCAGACACUUACAGGAGGCAGCAGCCGGGACUCUUCCGCAAUGCGGGAGAGCCUGAUGGAGCAAAGCGGCGUGAGUGCUGAAGGUGUCAUGCUGGUAGAACUAUGUAGUUAGGAGAGUAGAAAAGUGCUAGCAACGGUGACGGUCCUGACGGUACCUGAUGAGAAAGCCACGGCUAACUACGUG